rnacentral:lncRNA from 1 species
AGUCACAGCAUGGUGGUGAAGUGUAGUAUAUGUCUCAAGAUUCUUAUAUAUAGCUGGUUUGAACUUUAAUCAUUUCAUGACAUGGAGAUGGAGGGAAAGUGUGCCAUUUUGUUUUCUAAUAGCUAGCCGACUUCAAAAUAGGUGGGAGUGGAAUUUACAGGAACCUUUUACUCUUAUGUUCGUUAUCGUUAAAAGAUAUUAUUUGAAAAGUUCAGGUAUGUUCCAUUUAAGUUAAGCUCCAUUUACUUUCACAUUCUUUUAUCAUUUUACAUAGGAGUAUGAAAAUAGAGCAUUGCAUUCUAAGUAUUAAUAUUCUUGAGCAAAAAGUGCAUUUGUAUGUAUGGUCUAACCAACUCAUAUUAGCACUGAUGCACAAUAGUUGAUUCUAUUAAUGAUAUGAUUAGUAUGAAAGGUGAGCUAAAGAAAAAGAAGGAAGACAAAGUUUGAUGCUACCAACGCAUCCCUUCAGGAAAAAGGUCACUGUCUAGACGGUACAACCAAAGACAUAAAGUGCCAAGUUUUAAUAAAAUGUGGGGAAAAGGCACUAUAGGUUUGGAAUAAACUAGCUUGUUUAUUAGGAGUAUUAUUUGACUCUUCAACAUUUAUUGAAAAUUAGUGCAUGGUAAUAUGUGACAGCCCUAGCAAUAUUGGAUGCAUGCUUUGAAGUUUAGUCAAUUCAUUAAAAUAUGAAAUUUUCCAACUUGAUUUGGACACUGCUAGAAUACAGUGC